UACGAAGGGGGCUAGCGUUGCUCGGAAUUACUGGGCGUAAAGGGCGCGUAGGCGGCCCUCUAAGUCAGACGUGAAAUCCCCCGGCUUAACCUGGGAACUGCGUCUGAUACUGGAGGGCUUGAGUAUGGGAGAGGGAUGUAGAAUUCCAGGUGUAGCGGUGAAAUGCGUAGAUAUCUGGAGGAAUACCGGUGGCGAAGGCGGCAUCCUGGACCAUUACUGACGCUGAGGCGCGAAAGCUAGGGGAGCAAACGGG
rnacentral:rRNA from 1 species